rnacentral:rRNA from 1 species
UACGUAGGGGGCUAGCGUUGUCCGGAAUCAUUGGGCGUAAAGAGCGUGUAGGCGGUCCGGUAAGUCCGCUGUGAAAGUCGGGGGCUCAGCCGAGGAAGUGCGCCCGAAACUGCAUGGCUUGAGUACCGGAGAGGGUGGCGGAAUUCCCCAAGUAGAGGUGAAAUUCGUAGAUAUGGGGAGGAACACCGGUGGCGAAGGCGGCCACCUGGACGGAUACUGACGCUGAGACGCGAAAGCGUGGGGAGCAAACAGG